AUGCCUCACCGGAUCCAGCAGCCCAAGUCCCCGGCGCGCGCCAUCCUGGGCGCCACCACCCCAGAUCUGGCCCGCGAUAGAGAGCGGUUGGCCGCACCACCCUCCAAAGCCGCGGCCGUCCGAGUCUUACCCUUAGUUGGAGUACAGCGAGGUGCGUGCGCCCAUGGGCUGGUAGUAGAUCGAUCGACCAGGAGAUGGGCACGGCCUCCAGAUGUAUCGGUAGACCGACGGUUGCCGCGGCGUCGACGGAGGAGGCAUGGCGGCUACGGUUUGGGGUUGGGGUGGGGGGCGAGAGCUCGGGGAAGAGAUAGGAGAGGGGAAGAGACGCGCACGGCACAAGUUGCGUAA
rnacentral:rRNA from 1 species